AUUGAACGCUGGCGGCAGGCCUAACACAUGCAAGUCGAGCGGAGCUGCGUACGGGUGAGUAAUGCCUAGGAAUCUGCCUGGUUGUGGGGGAUAACGUCCGGAAACGGGCGCUAAUACCGCAUCCUAUCAGAUGAUCCUAGGUCGGAUUAGCUUGUUGGUGGGGUAAAGGCCUACCAAGGUGACGAUCCGUAACUGGUCUGAGAGGAUGAUCAGUCAAACGGGAACUGAUACACGGUCCAGACUCCUACGGGAGGCAGCAGUGGGGAAGAGUGGGAAAGGGGCGAAAGCGUGAACGAGCCAUGCGGCGUGUGUGAAGAAGGUAUUCGGAUUGUAGAGCACUUUAAGUUGGGAGGCGUUACCAACAGAAUAAGCACCGGCUAACUACGUGCCAGCAGCCGCGGUAAUUC
rnacentral:rRNA from 1 species